rnacentral:lncRNA from 1 species
AGCAGUUUAAAAUUCACAUUUAAUCACAGGUCCAUUUUAUGUUUACAUGAUCAUUUGGUAUCAUUCUCUUAAAGAUUUCAGGUGCAGGUGGUCAAUACAGAACAUUAUUUACAAGAUGAGAGCCAAGCACAGACUUUAAUACAAUGUCCUCACAAAUGAACAGAAGAAUGACAGGCAUCGGAUUUUAAUGAGCAGGGGCUGAGACUACUAGACUACUAGUUAGAACCAUCUUCCCUGGAAGAGGAGACAAGUUUCGUUCAAUGCAAGAAUUCCCUGAACCACUGAUACCAAUGUCUCAUGUCACGGG